GCUGUUGCCUGAGUUUUCAGU
rnacentral:miRNA from 1 species